GUACACUCCUGCGGGAGGCAGCAGUGGGGAAUUUUGGACAAUGGGCGAAAGCCUGAUCCAGCAAUGCCGCGUGAGUGAAGAAGGCCUUCGGGUUGUAAAGCUCUUUUGUCAGGGAAGAAACGGUGAAAGCUAAUAUCUUUUGCUAAUGACGGUACCUGAAGAAUAAGCACCGGCUAACUACGUGCCAGCAGCCGCGGUAAUACGUAGGGUGCAAGCGUUAAUCGGAAUUACUGGGCGUAAAGCGUGCGCAGGCGGUUUUGUAAGUCUGAUGUGAAAUCCCCGGGCUCAACCUGGGAAUUGCAUUGGAGACUGCAAGGCUAGAAUCUGGCAGAGGGGGGUAGAAUUCCACGUGUAGCAGUGAAAUGCGUAGAUAUGUGGAGGAACACCGAUGGCGAAGGCAGCCCCCUGGGUCAAGAUUGACGCUCAUGCACGAAAGCGUGGGGAGCAAACAGGAUUAGAUACCCCGGUAGUCCCAUGA
rnacentral:rRNA from 1 species